rnacentral:rRNA from 1 species
AUAUUAUUAAGCGGAGGAAAAGAAACUAACAAGGAUUCCUCUAGUAACGGCGAGUGAAAAGGGAACAGCCCAAAUUUGUAAUCUGGCCCUUUCAGGGUCCGAGUUGUAAUCUCGAGAACUGUUUUCCGUGCUGGACCGCGUACAAGUCUGUUGGAAUAUAGCUUCAUAGAGGGUGAGAAUCCCGUACAUGACGCGGACUACCAGUACAAUGUGAUACAGUCUCUAAGAGUCGAGUUGUUUGGGAAUGCAGCUCAAAAUGGGUGGUAAAUUCCAUCUAAGGCUAAAUAUUGGCGAGAGACCGAUAGCGCACAAGUA